AUUGAACGCUGGCGGCAGGCCUAACACAUGCAAGUCGAGCGGUAGAGAGGUGCUUGCACCUCUUGAGAGCGGCGGACGGGUGAGUAAUGCCUAGGAAUCUGCCUGGUAGUGGGGAUAACGUUCGGAAACGGACGCUAAUACCGCAUACGUCCUACGGGAGAAAGCAGGGGACCUUCGGGCCUUGCGCUAUCAGAUGAGCCUAGGUCGGAUUAGCUAGUUGGUGAGGUAAUGGCUCACCAAGGCGACGAUCCGUAACUGGUCUGAGAGGAUGAUCAGUCACACUGGAACUGAGACACGGUCCAGACUCCUACGGGAGGCAGCAGUGGGGAAUAUUGGACAAUGGGCGAAAGCCUGAUCCAGCCAUGCCGCGUGUGUGAAGAAGGUCUUCGGAUUGUAAAGCACUUUAAGUUGGGAGGAAGGGUACUUACCUAAUACGUGAGUAUUUUGACGUUACCGACAGAAUAAGCACCGGCUAACUCUGUGCCAGCCGCCGCCGUAACAC
rnacentral:rRNA from 1 species